UGUAGUAUUUUGACUAUACAAAGGUAUUGUAAUAAGACUUUAAUUGAGUGCUAAAAGAAUGGAGUUUCAAAAAAAGUCUAUCUUGAAUUCAAAAAUUGAAUUUAUUUUUAUUUGUGAAGAAACAAUAAUUAAAAUUAAGGACAAGAAGACCCUAAGAAUUUUUAAUUUUGUAUAUAUAAAUAUUUAUAUAUACAAAAUUUUAAUUGGGGCGAUUAAAAAAUAUAAUUAACUUUUAAUUUUAAAAAAUGAUCCAUUAUUAAUGAUUUAAUGUAAAAAAUACUCUAGGGAUAACAGCGUAAUAAUUUUAGAUAGAUCUUAUAGAAAAAAUAGUUUGCGACCUCGAUGUU
rnacentral:rRNA from 1 species